rnacentral:lncRNA from 1 species
UUUGUGAAGCUGAAUUUUGCUUUUGUAUAGACAUAGCUUUAUCAUGCCUACUGUUUUAUUUGUGAAAUUCUAUGGUACAGUAGAAAUAACUGGCAAGAAAAUGACUCUGGAGUCAAAGCCAAGUCAAAAAAAAAAAAAAGAAUCAAACAAAAAACAAAAACAAAAAUAUCACUUGACUUUAUCAAUCCCUCUACAAAUCAUUCAUAACAUUUCUCAAACCUUGUCUUUUAAAAGUCCACAUUUUGAUUGAACAAUACCUUUCUAAUUAGUCUCCUUGCCUCAAAUCUUUCUCUUCUCCAAUCUGUCCUAUACACAAAUUUCAAAAUGAGAUUCUAAAAUCCCAUUUUGAAAUUCCAUGUGAGUCUCUUAUUCUAAAAGCACCUGUAGUUUCCUCUUAGUUUUUAAAAUUAAAGACAAACUUUUCUUUGGCAUUUAAAGUCCUUUACAAUCUGGAUUUAGCCUUCAUUUCAUGACUAUUUAAUCUCCUUCAGACGCUCUACAAUACUAGAGUAUAGCCAAAAUGACCUUCUUCAUCUUUCUCUCAAGAAACAUUCCCUUUUCAUUUCCAUUCUGUUCAUUUGCAUUCUUAUUCAUGGAAAUUCUCCUUUCUUUCCUACGCAAUCAUUUUAAAUUUCCUUGCUCCUUUCAAAGUUCAACUCAAGUGCUGAUUUGAAAUCUAACCAUUUAUGCAGGAGGCCCUCCCCAUCUCCUUUUCUCAUAUGUAGAGGUAAGUACAUAACAGGUGCUUAAUAAAUGUUUAUUGAUUGAUUUCUUCUACUAGUUAUGAAUUUGUAUGGUCAGAUUAUAAUAGAGAGGCAUGAAGGUCAGAUAAGUGAUGGUCACACAGCUAUUAUUUGUCAGAAACAGCACUUAACCCCAGGUCUUCCUACUUUAAGUAUACCUCAAAGAGCAGCAGUUUCCCACUGCUCAUGAAAAAUCUCUAAGGUUACAAUUAGCAUAAUUUCCUUAUGAAAUCACAGGUCCAAACCUCCCCAAAAGAGAGGGAAGUGAAGUAAUAUCCAUAAAGGAAAAGAGUAAAAGAAAAAAAAAAAAAUCACGGAAUGUGAGGAAAUGAUUGCAAUGUCCUCCUUCUUUGCUAGCUAUAGGGGAAUGAGUAGAAAAAAGAUAACUAUGAGACU